rnacentral:lncRNA from 1 species
GGGGUCAUCUGAUAUAUCAAAUUGAAGGUCUUAAUAAACUCUACUUAAAAAUGAAAAUUUUAAACCCCCUUUUCAUCCCAGGGGAAGGGUUGGGUCAUUUAGUGCAAAAAUUCAAAUUUCUCAGAUGGUAAGGUUGUCGCAUAUCAAAUGAAAGAACAUAAAGCGUACAUUUCAAAUUUCAAAUUGACGUCCCCCAAAAAAUGGGUUGGAUGGGUCAUUGAGUGCAAAAAAAUAAAUUUUCUUUUAAGAUAGGGUUGUUGUAUAUCAAAUGAAAGGUCAUGAUGUGUACAUUUGAAAUAUCAAAUUCCCAACCUCCAAAAAUUGGUUGGAUGGGUUAUUAAGUGCAAAAAUCAAACUUUCUAGAACAUGGCGUUGUCGCAUAUCAAAUGAAAGCUCAU